rnacentral:tRNA from 1 species
CCCCGCUUAGCUCAGCCUGGUAGAGCAAUCGGCUGUAACCCGAUGUGUCGCUGGUUCAAAUCCGGCAGCGGGGA